CAAUAGCGUAUAUUAAAGUUGUUGCAGUUAAAAAGCUCGUAGUUGGACUUGUGGUGGUCCCUGUGGUCCAAUUUUGGUACUGUCGGGGACUUCCAUCUUUGGGUGGAUCCUGUGUGGCAUUAGGUUGUCGUGCAGGGGAUGCCCAUCGUUUACUGUGAAAAAAUUAGAGUGUUCAAAGCAGGCUUAUGCCGUUGAAUAUAUUAGCAUGGAAUAAUGAGAUAGGACCUUGGUACUAUUUUGUUGGUUUGCGCACCGAGGUAAUGAUUAAUAGGGACAGUUGUGGGUAUUCGUAUUCCAUUGUCAGAGGUGAAAUUCUUGGAUUUCUGGAAGACGAACUAAUGCGAAAGCAUUUACCAAGGAUGUUUUCAUUA
rnacentral:rRNA from 1 species